UACAGAGGGUGCGAGCGUUAAUCGGAAUUACUGGGCGUAAAGCGUGCGUAGACGGCUAUCUAAGUCGGGUGUGAAAGCCCCGGGCUCAACCUGGGAAUUGCAUUCGAGACUGAAUAGCUAGGGUACGGUAGAGGGAAGUGGAAUUUCCGGUGUAGCGGUGAAAUGCGUAGAUAUCGGAAGGAACAUCAGUGGCGAAGGCGGGUCUCUGGGUAGUAACUGACGCUGAGGAACGAAAGCGUGGGUAGCGAACAGG
rnacentral:rRNA from 1 species